UUCCGUAGGUGAACUGCNGAUGGAUCAUUG
rnacentral:rRNA from 1 species